UUUUCUUAAUAAACACUAUGGUUCUCUUCUUCCAAUUACUUAAGACAUCACAGCUUUUUGCUAUUCUCAUCCUUUUCUUUCUUUUCUUUAAAAUCCAGAACCAUUUUUACUAUACAUUGCAUUCUCCACACAUCUUUCACUAGAACUUUUAAACUUUUCUGAAACUUUUACUCUCCUAAAGACUCAACUCAUUCCCUUUUCAUUUCUUUCUCUUUCUUUUUAACCAUUCCAACAAAUCCCAAAAUCCAAGUAAAAUCUAUCCUAGUCCUAUCUUAUCUGAAAAAUGCAAAUCAGAACUACUCAAGAUCAUAUUCCUGUCGGCUCAAACCUAACACGUUCUCUUAAAACUCAAUCCAAUAAAAUAG
rnacentral:lncRNA from 1 species